AGAGUUUGAUCAUGGCUCAGAUUGAACGCUGGCGGCAUGCCUUACACAUGCAAGUCGAACGGCAGCACGGGGGCAACYCUGGUGGCGAGUGGCGAACGGGUGAGUAAUAUAUCGGAACGUACCCUGGAGUGGGGGAUAACGUAGCGAAAGUUACGCUAAUACCGCAUACGAUCUACGGAUGAAAGUGGGGGAUCGCAAGACCUCAUGCUCAUGGAGCGGCCGAUAUCUGAUUAGCUAGUUGGUAGGGUAAAAGCCUACCAAGGCAUCGAUCAGUAGCUGGUCUGAGAGGACGACCAGCCACACUGGAACUGAGACACGGUCCAGACUCCUACGGGAGGCAGCAGUGGGGAAUUUUGGACAAUGGGCGCAAGCCUGAUCCAGCAAUGCCGCGUGAGUGAAGAAGGCCUUCGGGUUGUAAAGCUCUUUUGUCAGGGAAGAAACGGUUUGGGCUAAUACCCUGGGCUAAUGACGGUACCUGAAGAAUAAGCACCGGCUAACUACGUGCCAGCAGCCGCGGUAAUA
rnacentral:rRNA from 1 species